GUCCAGCCGAAGCUAGGACCUAUACUAAAAUUGGAACGAUACAGAGAAGAUUAGCAUGGCCCCUGCGCAAGGAUGACACGCAAAAUCGUGAAGCCAAUUUGU